GCUCCUCGCGCCGAUCCAGACUCCUACGGCGGCAGCAGUGGGGAAUAUUAGCACAAUGGGCGAAAGCCUGAUGCAGCGACGCCGCGUGAGGGAUGACGGCCCUCGGGUUGUAAACCUCUUUCAGCUCCGACGAAGCGAAAGUGACGGUAGGAGCAGAAGAAGCACCGGCCAACUACGUGCCAGCCGCCGCGUAAUAC
rnacentral:rRNA from 1 species